UCAGAUUGAGGUAGUAGGUUGUAUAGUUCAGAAUUACAUCAAUCAUGGAGAAACUGUACAACCUUCUAGCUUUCCCUGA
rfam:Lingula anatina scaffold126, whole genome shotgun sequence.